rnacentral:rRNA from 1 species
UACGGGGGGGGGUAAGCGUUGUUCGGAAUUACUGGGCGUAAAGGGCUCGUAGGCGGCCAACUAAGUCAGACGUGAAAUCCCUCAGCUUAACUGGGGAACUGCGUCUGAUACUGGAUGGCUUGGAUUUGGGAGAGGGAUGCGGAAUUCCAGGUGUAGCGGUGAAAUGCGUAGAUAUCUGGAGGAACACCGGUGGCGAAGGCGGCAUCCUGGACCAACACUGACGCUGAGUGAGCGAAAGCCAGGGGAGCAAACGGG